GCGUCUGUGUUGAUGACCAAGGAUGUUGAGAGAUAAUCUGCACAUCUUAAAGAGCUCAGUUUUUUUUCUUCACCUCCACUCCUUGAUGGAAGUCCACUCGUAGUUGACUUUGUCAGUCCUACAGAAUUCCAAGGUCUUUUAAUCUAAUAUCAUUAUAAAUGGCUCACAGAUGGAUCUGGUUUCCACAAGCAGCUCAGUGUUCCUGUUACACCCGUUACCGGCAUGCAGUUACUUUUAAUGGUUUGCUUUUGUUCCAGUGAGGCCCUGAAAGUGUUAAUAGCGGUUUCUCCUGAGAAAAUCAACAGCUGCUGAGUAAUGCAGGAGCCUCAGCCCUUGUGUGGAGACCUGACUCAUGAAGGAAGGCAAGUGCAGAUAAAGCUUUUUAUUUUAUUUUUAUUUUUUAUGAAUGUUCUCUGCCCUCCACCCACAUUUGCGUACAGUGGUUUAUCUCCAUAGUCCCAAAUCUGAAGCCGCUGUCUGCUCAUCUUUGGCUUGAUUGAGACCUUGUUUCUACUAGAGGACAUGACUUCACUUUCUUCCACACCACAUGCCAAACAAGCAUGUUUGUUCUCUCUAUCCUGAGCUAUAAAUUUCUAUUUAAACAACUUUUGAAUUUGCAUGCAUAUAAGAUCCAUGGUAACCUCACAUGUACCAUUAUCCAAGUUGGAUGCAUUAUCCUUUACAUUGAUGAUGUGAGGAUUAUUCAAGUAAAUACUGAAGUACUCCAAGCAUCUAUGCUGUGAACUUUACAUAUUUCACAUACUUUUGAAAACCAGCCUUUUGUUAAUCCUAAGUGCUCAUUGUCACAGCUGUAAACAUGACCGCUUUCUUCCAUGAGGUAGUUUGGUGUCAUGGCAUAUUUGUUUCCAGGGGGAAUGUUAAAGAACGUGGCGCGUCUCCCAGAAAUCCUAUAUAAUUCAACCAAUCAGAUGACGACUUGGAAACUCCUGUAAUGUUUCCAGUUUUGUGUGCUGUAUGCAUCAGAUGUUCAGCCAGCGGUCCGUGGGCAUGAUGGCUGAGACUAGAAUCAACCAGGCACGGAUGCCCUCUUCUCUCUCUCAAGGUGAGCUGUGCAGCUGCUUGGAUGAGUUGGAUGUGAUCCUGUCCCGUUCCUUAAUGGCAGCUCACUUGUAUUCAUUGAGGGUUUCAUUGGUCUGUCCACUCAGCUGGUCCUCCAGGGGCUUUUAUCAACUGGCAUGCAAAGAUGUUGCAGAUCUGUUGGCUCUCCAGAUGCUCGUCAUAUGGCUGGAACUCCUAAUUCCUCCUUGCUGCUAUCUCUCUGGAAUGCUGGAGCCUCCUGCUUGGAAUGUCCUCCAGAUCUACUGACUCGACAUUGGAUCACAACUGUGUCAAACCGAACUUGGCACUUUACGUUUCCUCCCUUGAGCUCGUUCUACCAGUGGUUCCUGGACAUUAUAGUGUUCAACCCAGUGCAGCCCGUCCUUCUAUUUGUUUGCAGAGUCUGCUUGUCUGGUAUGAUUACAGAGUAGUAACUUGCAACACUUAUCUGUAGUGAUCUCCCUGUGCAAUUGUGUUGCUUAAU
rnacentral:lncRNA from 1 species